rnacentral:tRNA from 1 species
UCUGUUUUAGUAUAAUGAUAUUAUGUUGGCUUUUCGUGCUAUAGAUGGUUUUUUGACUGAGCAGAU